GUGGCAGGAGGGUACUUAAGGCGCGGCCACCGGGGCUGCGGCAUUGCGCCCAGCAGCGGACUCCGAGAUCCAUAGACCUCGGCGAACCCUUGCUCUCGACCACCCACCCACUUUCGGAACCAUGGCCGCAGUGGCAGCAGCCUCGGCAGAACUGCUCAUCAUCGGCUGGUACAUCUUCCGCGUGCUGCUGCAGACCCUGUCCCCAGUGCGCCCGCGCCCAGCCGGGAACAAAGACUCAGGGGUGCGGCGGUCGCCCGCUGCGGACGAUCGCGACCAACGCGGUGUUCCUGGAAUGCUGCAUUUACUGGGUAGGAUUCGCUUUUCGAAAUCCUCCAGGGACACAGCCCAUUGCGAGAAGUGAGGUGUUCAGGUACUCCCUGCAGAAGCUGGCGCACACGGUGUCCCGGACCGGGCGGCAGGUGCUGGGGGAGCGCAGGCACCGAGCCCCCAACUGAGGCCCCAUCUCCCAGCCCUGGGCGGCCGUGUCAUCAGGUGCUCCUGUGCUUCUCGACCAGCAUGGGAGCCAAUGCCGCGCAGGAAUGGGGGGUCCCCUGUGCUCCCUCGUCAGAGGAGCACUUGCCAAGGUCAGUGAGGGGCCGGUAGGUCCCCAGAAAAGCAGCACCGACAAUGAUGAAGACAUCAGUUCCUUUCCCAGCCCCCUCCCCCCUUUGCCCCUGUCCCAUGGCCGGCGGGUGGGAGAGGAUGGGGGAAGAGGGGAGCAACCCUCGAGAUAUGGGCGUAGGCACCACAUUCUGAUCUGGACCAAGUUGGAACAGCACCAUCUCAGCCGCACAAGAUCCUACCAUGGAGAGCUAACACCCCACCAACCAGCAGAAUGGACAUUCUGACAUCACCAGCUGAAACCCUGAAUCUCGGUGCAGAAGAGAAAGUGUCAACUGCGUGCAGCACUGGGGGAGUGGAGGGUGUGGGUGGUGGAGGAAGAGGGUUAAGAAAACUAGUGGGGCCCUCUUGCUGUCCCUUGCCUAUGGCACGCAUAUUCCUGCCUUGCUCCCUCACUCCCCCUCUCCCCUGCCUUCCAAAGCCCCACCCCCCAAAAAUGUGUCACUUGAUUCGGACCUAUUCAACCAGUAAUUGGAUCCCACCUUUACCAAAACACCGUCUCUGACCCCCGGCCCUUCACUGAUCUUGCUUAUCCCUGGUCUCACGCAGCAGUUGUGGUUGCUAUUGUGGUAGUCGCUAAUUGUACUAGUUUACGUGUGCAUUAGUUGUGUCUCCCCGGCUAGAUUGUAAGCUCCUGGAGACAGGGACCACCUCCACAAAAAAUAAAAAAACGGACCUCUCCUGUCUUGUAGUGUCCUAGGACCCUGCAGGGCAGUGGGGGUGCACCAAAA